CGUCUACAAAGGUGUACCGAGCGCUUAUUUACCUGUUCCACAUAGUGAUGCAUUACAAGUUCCAAGUGAUCCAUUCGAACUCGAAACUGUCUAUGAUUACAAACAGUCUAUGGCAACGCCGUUAUCAGUUGAUGAUGGAUCUGAUUACAUUCCGAUAGAAAACAAUUUACCGUCUUUCAUAUCCCAAGAACACCUAAACAGCAUGGUGCGUUAAUUAAAUCUCUCCCAUAACAACGCAAUGAUUCUGGCAUCAGAACUGAAAAGCGUGAAUGUGUUAGCACCACGAAAGCGAAGUUUGAAAGCAGUCUUGCUCUAUCGCGAUAGUAGCAAGAAACCCGUUCCCAUCUUGUAUGCGGUUGGAAUAAAGGAAUCAUAUGAAACAAUGCAAUUAAUCUUAGAUUGCAUCAAGUACGAAGAGCACAGGUGGUGCGUGAACUGUGAUUUUAAAGCUCUCUCACUACACAUUGGGAUAGUAGAGCCAAAUGCAAUCACUAUACCAAAUGUGAUUGGCCAAAAAGAAAGGAACAAUCGAUUGGUCAAUUCAAUAUAGUUCACGAGUCCUUGAUAGCGGUUAAUAAAAUCAUGCUUCCCGAUUUACAUAUCAAACUUGGUGUUGUUAAGAAUUACAUCAAACAGUUGGUUAGAGUCAACGAAACUGCAUUCCUAUAUAUGAAAAAUAAUGCGUUUCCAAAACUUUCCGUUGAAACAAUCCGUGAAGGUGUGCUUAAUGGGCCGGACAUCGGAAGAUUAAUGAAGGAUCAAGGCUUCUUGAAAAUUCUUGAUGGCACAGCAGCCGUUACAUGCAAGGUUUAUAUAUUAAAGGAUGCGCAUUGCGCAGGUCCGUUACUCCUCUUUUGUAAACUUGGCAAUCAGCUGUUCAGCUUGCCGACAAGGGCGACAAAAACAGAAAAUAACAAGCAGCGUGAAAAGUGAAGCAAUUAAAAUACGCUCAGCAAAUGAAAUAAAUUUACAUAGAAUAAAAAUUGCAACGCAGUGUGCGGUGUGGAAUUUUGUAAGCCAACGCAGGGACCCAUCGGAAAAAAGAUAUUUUUUCCGUUUCCCAAGGGAUCCGAAACAGCGAGAAAAAUGGUUGAAGUUUUGCCGGCGAUCUAAAGUUUUUAAACCAAAAACGCGGAGAAUUCGUCUGGACUAUUUUAAAGACGAACACAUUAAAGGGAACUAACUUCCCUGAAUUGGGGUGGAAUCGAGAAUGUGGAAAUCGCUCGCACCUAUUAUUCGCAAGCUCUCAAAUUAAAUCCAAAUAACUUGCGGGCACUAUAUGGGCUAUAUCUUUGUUGCAGUUACAUAGCCAAUUCCCGCGCCGUGGUAUCAAAACGUAGGGAAGCCCAAAAAAUGGCGCAAUGGGCAUUGGAGAAUGCCACAAUGCGAACCACAAAAUCAUCGAAAAUUUCUAGCAACGAUAAACUAAUCUCGGUUUUAGAAAGCGCCCUGGGAGGCUUAGAUAUUAAGUCAAAUUGACAUAGUUCUGAAACAUUGUUAGUAAAUUUGUAAUUUUGCGCGACUAGAUGAUAAUAUAAAACAUCCAUUAACUAAAUUUUUACCGUUUGCAUUAUAUGGACAUCUUAUUUAUAAGUUUUAUGGAAAAGUGCCUUGUUCCUGAACAAAUAAAUACAACAAAGAUACAUGCUACGCGAUUUCGCAAACCAGAUCAACAUGAAUAUUUCAAAAAUGCCUGCCGAGACACCUACAUCGGAUUUAGGCUUCGGCGACAAGGUGAGUG